GACUGCUAAAACAUACACACAGACUGCUGAAUAAAUAUACACAGACUGCUGAAUACAUACACACAAGCUGUUGAAUACAUACACAGGCUGCUAAAUACACGCACACACACACACACACACACACAGACUGUAGAAGACACACGCAGACUGCUGAAUACAUACAUACAGACUGCUCAAUACACACAUACUUCAAAACACACACACACACACACAGACUGUUGAAUACACACACACAGAUGGACUGCAGUGAGGGGU